GAGCCCUGUGGGGUGCGGUGUGUGUGUGUGUGUGUGUGUGUGUGUGUGUGGGGGACGGCUCCAGCACUCACCUCGGUCACCUCCACCGCUCACAUCUG
rnacentral:miRNA from 1 species